AUUUUUACCUGGACGGGGUCAAUGAGCGAUCAAUAAGGCUCAUGGCCUAGGUUGGUAACUUCCAUUGCACUUUGGAAGGGUGUCUGCCUAAGGUCGACCUAAGUGGUCGAGCCUACGUCAUAAUUUGUAGUAGUAGAGGCUUGCGUUUGCGCGGCUCCUAA
rnacentral:snRNA from 1 species